rnacentral:rRNA from 1 species
CCUACGGGGGGCUGCAGUGGGGAAUAUUGCACAAUGGGCGGAAGCCUGAUGCAGCGACGCCGCGUGAGCGAAGAAGGCCUUCGGGUCGUAAAGCUCUGUCCUAUGGGACGAUAAUGACGGUACCAUAGGAGGAAGCCCCGGCUAACUACGUGCCAGCAGCCGCGGUAAUACGUAGGGGGCGAGCGUUGUCCGGAAUUACUGGGCGUAAAGGGUACGUAGGCGGCUAGGUAAGUCAGAUGUGAAAGGCAUGGGCUUAACCCAUGUAAGCAUUUGAAACUGCUUAGCUUGAGUCGAGGAGAGGAAAGCGGAAUUCCUGGUGUAGCGGUGAAAUGCGUAGAUAUCAGGAGGAACACCAGUGGCGAAGGCGGCUUUCUGGCCUUGGACUGACGCUGAGGUACGAAAGCGUGGGGAGCAAACAGGAUUAGAUACCCCAGUAGUC